rnacentral:rRNA from 1 species
CCUAGCGGCCACAUCCCCCUGCAGCUCCCAGCUGGCAGCCCACUGGAGCUCAGCAGGUGGGAGCCUGGCCAGUACCUGGAUGGGAGACCCCUGGGAAAGCUGAGGCUGCUGCUGGAA